GACGUAGGAUGCAAGCGUUAUCCGGAAUUAUUGGGCGUAAAGCGUACGUAGGCGGUUUCUUAAGUCUGGGGUUAAAGACCGAGGCUCAACCUCGGGAGUGCCCUGGAAACUGGGAGACUGGAGGACGGCAGAGGAAAGUGGAAUUCCCAGUGUAGCGGUGAAAUGCGUAGAUAUUGGGAGGAACACCAGUGGCGAAAGCGACUUUCUGGGCCGUUCCUGACGCUGAGGUACGAAAGCCAGGGGAGCAAACGGG
rnacentral:rRNA from 1 species